rnacentral:rRNA from 1 species
CCUACGGGUGGCUGCAGUGAGGAAUAUUGGUCAAUGGGCGCGAGCCUGAACCAGCCAAGUAGCGUGAAGGAUGACUGCCCUACGGGUUGUAAACUUCUUUUAUAAAGGAAUAAAGUGAGGCACUUGUGCCUUUUGUAUGUACUUUAUGCAUCAGGAUCGGCUAACCCCGUGCCAGCAGCCGCGGUAAUACGGAGGAUCCGAGCGGUAUCCGGAUUUAUUGGGUUUAAAGGGCGCGUAGGUGGGUUGUUAAGUCAGAUGUGCAGGUUUGCGGCUCAACCGUAAAAUUGCAAUUGAUACUGGGUGCCUUGAGUACAGUUGAGGUAGGCGGAAUUCGUGGUGUAGCGGUGAAAUGCUUAGAUAUCACGAAGAACUCCGAUUGCGAAGGCAGCCUACUAAACUGCCACUGACAUUGAUGCGCGAAAGUGUGGGUAUCAAACAGGAUUAGAUACCCCAGUAGUC